GAGAGUGGAAUUCCACGUGUAGCGGUGAAAUGCGUAGAUAUGUGGAGGAACACCAGUGGCGAAGGCGACUCUCUGGUCUGUAACUGACGCUGAGGCGCGAAAGCGUGGGGAGCAAACAGGAUUAGAUCCCCUGGUAGUCCACGCCGUAAACGAUGAGUGCUAAGUGUUAGGGGGUUUCCGCCCCUUAGUGCUGCAGCUAACGCAUUAAGCACUCCGCCUGGGGAGUACG
rnacentral:rRNA from 1 species